GACUCCCAGGCUCUGCGGAGAGCGGCUGCCACUCGCCUCUGUUUUUUUCUUGAGACCUAGUCUGGCUCUGUGGCUCAGGCUGGAGUGCAGUGGCGUGAUCACCGCUCACUGCAGCCUCAGCCUCCUCUCGCCUCAGCCGCUCGGUAGCUGGGACCACCAGCGGGCGCCACCACUCCCGGCUACAUUUUUUUGUAUUUUUAGUAGAGACGUGGGUCUCGCCAUGUUGGCUAGGCUGCUGCCGAACUCCGGGGCUCAAGCGAUCCGCCCGCCUGGGCCUCCCAAAGUGCUGAGACUGCAGGCAUGAGCCACCGCGCCCGGCCGAGAGCCUCUUUUGGCUCCUCCUUUCGCCUUUCCGGGGCCAGGCGUGUGCAGCUCUGUGAAGGGUCCCCUCCCUCUGCGGGACGUCCUCGCUGCCGAGGUCAGAGGUGCGGAGAACAUGAGACCCGAGGUCUCAACUGCUUCUUACCAAUAUUAAUUCCAGUGACUACUAUCAGAAUAUGAUGAGCAAUCCACUCAUCAGAGAAGCUGUUUCUACACUCUCCUGAAUGACCAUUUUAUAGAUGCUGGGAAAAAAUUGUAUUAAAGACUAUGAGUUAGCUGGGCUUGGUGGCUCACGCCUGUAAUCCCAGCACUUUGUGAAGCCAAGGCGGGAGCAUCGAUUGAGCCUAGCAGUUCAAGACCAACCUUGGCGGCAUAAGCGAGACCCUGUCUCUACAAAAAUUUUAAAAUUAGCCAGGUGUGGUGGUGUGCACCUAUAAUCUUAGCUACUUGGGAAGCUGAGGUGGGAGGAUUACUCAGCCUAGGAGGUUGAGGUUACAGUGAGCUGGGAUCACACCACUGCCCUUCAGCCUGGGUGACAGAGCAGGACCCCGUCUCUUAAAAAAAAAAAAAAAAGUGGUGGACUUUGUUAUCCUUAUGCAUAUGACUCAUCAAUAUAUCUGUAUUUCCAUAUAGAAAGAACACUUAGACCGGGCACAGUGACUCACGCCUGUAAUCCCAGCACUUUGGGAGGCCAAGGCUGGCGGAUCACUUGAGGCCAGGAGUUCCAGACCAGCCUGGCUAACAUGGCAAAACCCUGUCUCUACUAAAAAAUACAAAAAUUAGCCUGGUAUGGUGGCACACGCCUGUAAUCCCUGCUACUCCGGAGGCUGAGGAAUGAGAAUAGUUUGAACCUGGGAGGUGGAGGUGGCAGUGAAUCAAGAUUGCUUCACUGCACUCCAGCCUGGGCGACAGAGUGAGACUCCAUUUCAAGAAAUAGAUAACUAAAUAAAUAAAAUAAAAGAGAACACUUAGAAAGGAACAUGCUAUAGCAAACUAAAAUUAUAGAUGUCAAAAAUUUAAUCUGGAUUACCCAGCAUCUCCUAUAAGAAACAAAGGGGCCCUCUCCCUCUCCCUCUCCCUCUCCCUCUCCCUCUCCCUCCCCCUCCCUCUCCCUCUCCCUCUCCCUCUCCCUCUGAUGCCGAGCCAAGGCUGGACGGUACUGCUGCCAUCUCGGCUCACUGCAACCUCCCUGCCUGAUUCUCCUGCCUCAGCCUGCCGAGUGCCUGCGAUUGCAGGCGCGCACCGCCACGCCUGACUGGUUUUCGUUUUUUUUUGGUGGAGACGGGGUUUCGCUGUGUUGGCCGGGCUGGUCUCCAGCUCCUAGCCGCGAGUGAUCCGCCAGCCUCGGCCUCCCGAGGUGCCGGGAUUGCAGAUGGAGUCUCGUUCACUCAGUGCUCAAUGGUGCCCAGGCUGGAGUGCAGUGGCGUGAUCUCGGCUCGCUGCAACCACCUCCCAGCCGCCUGCCUUGGCCUCCCGGAGAGCCGAGAUUGCAGCCUCUGCCCGGCCGCCACCCCGUCUGGGAAGUGAGGAGCGUCUCUGCUUGGCCACCCAUCGUCUGGGAUGUGAGGAGCCCCUCUGCCUGGCUGCCCAGUCUGGCAUCCAGGCAGACUGGAUUAGGCAGUGGUUAAGAGUCAUCACCACUCCCUAAUCUUAAGUACCCAGGGACACAAACACUGCGGAAGGCCAAGGCCGCAGGGUCCUCUGCCUAGGAAAACCAGAGACCUUUGUUCACUUGUUUAUCUGCUGACCUUCCCUCCACUAUUGUCCUAUGACCCUGCCAAAUCCCCCUCUGCGAGAAACACCCAAGAAUGAUCAAUAAAAAAAAAAUAAAUUAAUUAAAAAAAAAAAUUUAAUCUGUUA